rnacentral:rRNA from 1 species
GAAUAUUGCGCAAUGGGCGAAAGCCUGACGCAGCGACGCCGCGUGUGGGAUGACGGCCUUCGGGUUGUAAACCACUGUCGGGAGGGACGAAGAUCUGACGGUACCUCCAGAGGACGCACCGGCUCACUCUGUGCCAGCAGCCGCGGUAAUACAGAGGGUGCAAGCGUUGUCCGGAAUUACUGGGCGUAAAGGGCGCGUAGGCGGCCCGAUAAGUAGGGGGUGAAAUUCCGCGGCUCAACCGCGGGGCGGCCUUCUAGACUGUCAGGCUUGAGCACGGUAGAGGCGAAUGGAAUUCCCGGUGUAGCGGUGGAAUGCGUAGAGAUCGGGAAGAACACCAGUGGCGAAGGCGGUCCGCUGGGCCGUUGCUGACGCUGAGGCGCGACAGCGUGGGGAGCAAACAGG